rnacentral:rRNA from 1 species
UACGUAGGGUGCAAGCUUUAAUCGGAAUUACUGGGCGUAAAGCGUGCGCAGGCGGUUUUGUAAGUCUGUCGUGAAAGCCCCGGGCUCAACCUGGGAAUUGCGAUGGAGACUGCAAGGCUUGAAUCUGGCAGAGGGGGGUAGAAUUCCACGUGUAGCAGUGAAAUGCGUAGAGAUGUGGAGGAACACCGAUGGCGAAGGCAGCCCCCUGGGUCAAGAUUGACGCUCAUGCACGAAAGCGUGGGGAGCAAACAGG